rnacentral:rRNA from 1 species
GACGUAGGGCGCAAGCGUUGUCCGGAAUUAUUGGGCGUAAAGAGCUCGUAGGCGGCCUGUCGCGUCGGCUGUGAAAACUCAGGGCUCAACCCUGAGCCUGCAGUCGAUACGGGCGGACUAGAAUUCGGUAGGGGAGACUGGAAUUCCCGGUGUAGCGGUGAAAUGCGCAGAUAUCGGGAGGAACACCAAUGGCGAAGGCAGCUCGCUGGGACGGUACUGACGCUGAGACGCGAAAGCGUGGGGAGCAAACAGGG